rnacentral:rRNA from 1 species
CGGGACACGUGGUAUCCUGUCUGAAUAUGGGGGGACCAUCCUCCAAGGCUAAAUACUCCUGACUGACCGAUAGUGAACCAGUACCGUGAGGGAAAGGCGAAAAGAACCCCGGCGAGGGGAGUGAAAAAGAACCUGAAACCGUGUACGUACAAGCAGUGGGAGCCUCUUUAUGGGGUGACUGCGUACCUUUUGUAUAAUGGGUCAGCGACUUAUAUUCUGUAGCAAGGUUAACCGAAUAGGGGAGCCGAAGGGAAACCGAGUCUUAACUGGGCGUUAAGUUGCAGGGUAUAGACCCGAAACCCGGUGAUCUAGCCAUGGGCAGGUUGAAGGUUGGGUAACACUAACUGGAGGACCGAACCGACUAAUGUUGAAAAAUUAGCGGAUGACUUGUGGCUGGGGGUGAAAGGCCAAUCAAACCGGGAGAUAGCUGGUUCUCCCCGAAAGCUAUUUAGGUAGCGCCUCGUGAAUUCAUCUCCGGGGGUAGAGCACUGUUUCGGCAAGGGGGUCAUCCCGACUUACCAACCCGAUGCAAACUGCGAAUACCGGAGAAUGUUAUCACGGGAGACACACGGCGGGUGCUAACGUCCGUCGUGAAGAGGGAAACAACCCAGACCGCCAGCUAAGGUCCCAAAGUCAUGGUUAAGUGGGAAACGAUGUGGGAAGGCCCAGACAGCCAGGAUGUUGGCUUAGAAGCAGCCAUCAUUUAAAGAAAGCGUAAUAGCUCACUGGUCGAGUCGGCCUGCGCGGAAGAUGUAACGGGGCUAAACCAUGCACCGAAGCUGCGGCAGCGACGCUUAUGCGUUGUUGGGUAGGGGAGCGUUCUGUAAGCCUGCGAAGGUGUGCUGUGAGGCAUGCUGGAGGUAUCAGAAGUGCGAAUGCUGACAUAAGUAACGAUAAAGCGGGUGAAAAGCCCGCUCGCCGGAAGACCAAGGGUUCCUGUCCAACGUUAAUCGGGGCAGGGUGAGUCGACCCCUAAGGCGAGGCCGAAAGGCGUAGUCGAUGGGAAACAGGUUAAUAUUCCUGUACUUGGUGUUACUGCGAAGGGGGGACGGAGAAGGCUAUGUUGGCCGGGCGACGGUUGUCCCGGUUUAAGCGUGUAGGCUGGUUUUCCAGGCAAAUCCGGAAAAUCAAGGCUGAGGCGUGAUGACGAGGCACUACGGUGCUGAAGCAACAAAUGCCCUGCUUCCAGGAAAAGCCUCUAAGCAUCAGGUAACAUCAAAUCGUACCCCAAACCGACACAGGUGGUCAGGUAGAGAAUACCAAGGCGCUUGAGAGAACUCGGGUGAAGGAACUAGGCAAAAUGGUGCCGUAACUUCGGGAGAAGGCACGCUGAUAUGUAGGUGAAGCGACUUGCUCGUGGAGCUGAAAUCAGUCGAAGAUACCAGCUGGCUGCAACUGUUUAUUAAAAACACAGCACUGUGCAAACACGAAAGUGGACGUAUACGGUGUGACGCCUGCCCGGUGCCGGA